rnacentral:rRNA from 1 species
GAUUUUACCUAGAUUAUUAAUAGUUAUGUUCUUUAAAAUUAAAGGAUUUGGCGGUAUUUUAGUCUGUUCAGAGGAACCUGUUUUUUAAUUGAUAAUCCACGAUAAUUAGUACUUUUGUUUUAAAUUUAUAUAUCGUUGUUUAUAAAAAUUUUUUUAGAAUUUUAAUUUUUUAGAUACUUAAUUUUGUCAUAUUUCAAAUCAAGGUGUAGUUUAUAUAAAAGUUAAAAUGGGUUACAUUGAAUUUAUUUUUGGUUCUAUUUUUUAAAAAUUUAGAUAAAUUGGAUUUGAUAGUAAAUUCUUUAUUAUUGGGAGUUGAUUUAGCUCUAAAAUAUGC